rnacentral:lncRNA from 1 species
AGCCAAAGAGUCAAACUGUCACGACCCAAAACGAGCCGUGAGUGACACCCACACUUAUCCUACUAUGUGAGCGAACCAACCCAUCUAAACCCCAACAUUUCAAACAUAAUAGGCAGAAUAUAAUGCGGAAGACUUAAAACACAUUAACGAAAUCAAUUAAAUAACUUCUAAAGCUCAAAACUUAUCAUUAUCCCCAAAAUCUGAAAGUCAUCAUCACAAGAACAUCUAUCCUCAAAUUACUAAAUCUAAGAGUAUCUAAGAAGCUAAAAUAACUAAACAGCUAGUCCAUGCCAGAACUUCAAGGCAUCAAGAUAUGAAGAAGAAGAUCCAGUCCAAGCUAGAAACAAUAGCUCACCCUGAAAUCCGACGUGAUGAAGACUGGCUAGAGUUGAAGACGACGGUACGUUUGCUGCACUCCACAAAUAACAAAGAGAAAACAUACAAGUAGGGGUCAGUACAAAACACGAGUACUGAGUAGAUAUCAUCGGCCAACUCAAAAUAGAAAGCAAUAUAUAUAUUAGAUAAUAUCAUAAAAUCAACUACAAUACUCAACAGGUAGCAACAACAAGUACAAGAAUCAUUGAUAACAACGCCAAGUACACCCAUGAGGACUCAAGCCUCCAUACCAUACUCAUUUGGGGAAAUAGGUUCAUUAAUUUGAGUAUAUUAACAUAAUUCAAGAUUCAUUCUCUUUAUUCCUCUUGUGUCGGAACGUGACACUCCGAUCCCCUAAUACUACGUGUCGGUUCGUGACACCCGAUCCACUAAUACUAUGUGUUGGUUCGUGACACCCGAUCCACUAAUACUAUGUGUCGGUUCGUGACACCCGAUCCCCUAAUACUAUGUGUCGGUUCGUGACACCCGAUCCCCUAAUUCUAUGUGUCGUUUCGUGACACCCAGUCCCCUAACCUCAUUCUUUUAGUUCAUCAAGCCUUCUUUUAUACCAAGACAUCAUCAUUAAUAGAGAGGUUUUAAGGUGUAAGAUUCAACAGCCUCAUCAUGCUAAUUCAUCACAAUUACAUAAUCAUAUCAUGCAAGCACACAAUUAAGCAUAUAGAAGACUUUACAAAAUUACCCAAUACGUAUCAUUUGCUAUUAAGAGUUUUACUACGAAAUAGCAUAAAAACCAUAACCUACCUCCACCAAAGAAUUCGCGAUCAAGCAAGCUACUUUCCCAAAGCUGCGUUCUUCUCUUUCUCUCGCUCGUUCUCUCUUCCUCUUCUGUUUUUUCUAUUUUUCCUUAUUCAAACUCUUUUUCUUUUACCCUAAUUACCAUAUAAUUAAGUAUAAAAGAUGACCAAAGUAACCCACUAAUUAAUUCAAGGUUAUCUCCUUUAACCCCCAAGUAAUUGAAUUAUUAACAUUCACCCACUAACUUUAAAAUUAUAAGCAGGAAUAGUCCAAAACGCCCCUUAAAACUUUUAACAGAAAUCUGACCCAGUCAGGGUUACGCAGUCUGUGACGGGCCGUCGUGCCUGCGACGGUCCGUCCUGCUGAGUCGUCACAGAGUUCAGAGACUCAAUUUUUAUUUUAAGACCCUGUGACGGUCCGUCGUGCCUACGACGGUCCGUCCUGCUCUUCCGUCGCGAAGUUCAGAGAAUUGUUCUCAGUACCCAAUUUUUCAGAAUUCUAAGUGUUUUGGAACGGGACACCCUCGACGGUCCGUCGUGCCCAUGACGGUCCGUCGUGGGAUCCGUCGACCCAGACAGUUAUUACCAGAAAUAAAUUCUACUGCUCAAAACGACUAACAGAUCGUUACACAAACAAUUAAUAUCAGCAACAACAUCAUAAAAAUUAAAUUAUACUUAAUAGGUUGUAUGAUAGAGCAUAUUUAAAAAAAAAUGCAUGUAUAUUAGCAAAAAAGUUAAGAAGUAAUUUGAUCUUAAAUCAUUAUGCAAUAAAAUAACAUAAAUCUGUAUUAGAAUCUAAAUAUAGCUUAAGACAUUAGGAGUUUAAGACGUCUCUUCGGCCAACAUUUGUUUUUCCUUCAUCUGUUUUUUUCUUAAAAAAUAAAAUAAAUUCA